rnacentral:rRNA from 1 species
ACCUGCCGUCUACUCUUGGACAGCCUUCUGAAAGGAAGAUUAAUACAAGAUGGCAUCAUGAGUCCGCAUGUUCACAUGAUUAAAGGUAUUCCGGUAGACGAUGGGGAUGCGUUCCAUUAGAUAGUAGGCGGGGUAACGGCCCACCUAGUCUUCGAUGGAUAGGGGUUCUGAGAGGAAGGUCCCCCACAUUGGAACUGAGACACGGUCCAAACUCCUACGGGAGGCAGCAGUGAGGAAUAUUGGUCAAUGGGCGAGAGCCUGAACCAGCCAAGUAGCGUGAAGGAUGACUGCCCUAUGGGUUGUAAACUUCUUUUAUAAAGGAAUAAAGUCGGGUAUGGAUACCCGUUUGCAUGUACUUUAUGAAUAAGGAUCGGCUAACUCCGUGCCAGCAGCCGCGGUAAUACGGAGGAUCCGAGCGUUAUCCGGAUUUAUUGGGUUUAAAGGGAGCGUAGAUGGAUGUUUAAGUCAGUUGUGAAAGUUUGCGGCUCAACCGUAAAAUUGCAGUUGAUACUGGAUAUCUUGAGUGCAGUUGAGGCAGGCGGAAUUCGUGGUGUAGCGGUGAAAUGCUUAGAUAUCACGAAGAACUCCGAUUGCGAAGGCAGCCUGCUAAGCUGCAACUGACAU